GAACCUGGGAAAAUCUCUGGACAGUUCAGAUAAAUAAGAAAAUGAAAUAAUCCCAAAUUACAAGACAAUUAGCAAAAUCUUUCCAAACCAUUUUUUUACCGAUAAUCGUUCAUUCAUAUAACUAAUCCCAAACCCUUGUGGGAUUUGACUUGCUAUUCAUUUCCUUAUUAAUAAUCUAUUAAUCAGGGCAAUGAAGCAAUCGAAGGAUCCAUUCGAGGCAGCGUAUGUGGAGCAAGAAGAAUCGCCACCAGAAUCCCCUGUUGCCCAAGAUGAUUAUGACACUCAAGCUUCUAACGCUGCUGCUGCUGAUGAUUCUCAGGUUGCUGUCGGUGGUCAAGAUGAUGAUGACCUUGGCGGUGGAGGCCGCAAUGAUUUUGCCCAUUCCUCUGACCACCCAUCUGCUUCGAGGCCCAUGUUGGGCUCUGCAAGAAGUAAGGCAAAGAAUAAAGACGAUGAUGAAGAGGAGGAGGAAGAUAACAUGGAUGUUGAGCUUUCGAAGUUGGCUUCUACUGCUGACCCUGAUAAAAUGGCAAAGAUGCAGACUAUUUUAGCUCAGUUUACUGAAGAACAGAUGAGUAGGUACGAAUCAUUCCGCAGAUCUGCACUGCAGAAGACUAACAUGAAAAGGCUGUUAGUGAGCAUCACUGGAACCCAGAAAAUUUCUUUACCAAUGACAAUUGUAGUUUGCGGUAUAGCAAAAAUGUUUGUUGGUGAACUUGUUGAAACAGCCAGAAUUGUAAUGACGGAGAGGAAGGAAUCUGGGCCUAUCAGGCCUUGCCACAUAAGAGAAGCAUAUAGAAGACUAAAGCUUGAAGGCAAAGUACCGAAGAGAUCAGUACCAAGGCUCUUUCGGUAAAUGGAACCCAGUCAAUCAACAGUAUAAGAGGCACGCGCAGAAGGGGCUAGGCCAAAAGUCAAGGGGUUGGGAGAAAAGAGUGGGAAUAAAGCCUCUUACAUUGUCAAGGUCACUGAUUCAAGUUCAUAGAGCUGUGAAUCCUGCCAUGAACCCUGUCAACCAAAGGCCUGGUGACUUCUCUCCCUUUCCAGGAUGCACCUUGAUCUGCUGCUUAUACUGUAUUUCUCUUCCUCAAAAUUAGAAUUGGCAUUGGAUGCCUUCUCUGACACCGUAGUCAAUCAGCCAUGAGCCUUGAUUUGGUUCACUUCAAACAAACAUGUUGUGCUAACAAAAAGGAGUUUUUCUUCCAUGACUUCAAGUUACCAUGACUCUGGUCAAAAUUAAUUUAUUUUCUGUAAAAUGAGUGUUGGAUCCUUUUUCCCAUC